AAGAAGCUGUGAGUCUGUUCAGCAGGAGGAAGAGGAGCUGAGAGCUUCAGGGAGGAGCUGAGCUGUUACUGAACUAUAGAAGAGACACAAACUUCCACAUUCAACACAGUUCAAACAUUAACUCUGAUCAUCAUGCUGUCUUUGCUCACAUCUGGAUUUACUCUGCUGGUUCUGCUUAUAGGAACAGGUGUAAACUGUCAGCAACUCACUGCAGCAAAGACUGAAGAGUUCAGUCUAGAAGGCAGCUCUGUUACUCUGUCCUACACUUACUCCAAGAAAGCAGAUGGGGGUGAUUAUUUCUUCUGGUAUCGACAAUAUCCUGGACAACCUCCAGAGUUCCUGAUCUCUCACUUAGGAACAGGACAAGAAACCUCUCAGAAGGUUCCUGGUUUUUCCUUCAAAGUGAGUGAUGAUAAAACCCAGAUGGACCUGCUGAUCUCCUCUGCUGAGCUGACAGACUCUGCUGUGUACUACUGUGCUGUGAAGCCCACAGUGACAGGAAACACCAGAACUCUGUACAAGAACCUGCAAUACUCCACAGCAUCCACUAGAGGGCCUCACACACUUCAUUAUACUGAAUUAUGUCUCCACUUGAGCCUUAGAGCUUUUCUAAGAGCAGAAAUGAUGUCAUUGUGA